rnacentral:lncRNA from 1 species
UUAAGUUAAGAAAACUCGACCCAGUAAACCACAUUUUUGAUAGGUAUUCUAUUUGUUUCUAGGUGUAGAUGUGCAGAAAUCACCAUCAAAAAUCAAAGAUUCUCAGACAGGAAAAGGAAGGUGUUGUAAUAGGCGGUUGCGAGGAUACGAGAUGUAACGAGAAAGGCCCCUCCCCGAAGGAACAAGGACUAGUCGACCAAAGAAUGUACCCAUGACGCAGGAAAAAUGGCAAACUAAGAUGAUCCGAUAAGCUACCUUUUGAUAUGUCAAUAGAUGGAAAAUACUGCUUCAUGCUUCACUGCUACAUGCCUCAGCAAAAAUAUCCAAUCAGCAUUAAGGGAGUAAGCUUUAGAUGGCAAUAGUAGAUAGCAAGUAUCAUAAAAGGAGUGCUACACCUUUGAAUAAAAAAAGCUUUUCUUGCUGCUAUUGUGUGUGUGUGUGUGUGUGUGUGCGUGUGUUUUCAGGAAGGGGAAAAACCCUGAAAGACAUUUGCUUUACUAUCUGGAGGGGUAAAGAAACGGGAUGUGAAGUAUGGACCCUCACUCACUGAUAAGUGGAAUUUUAUAAUAUUUUUUCAUUUAAACUUCCUUCUUGACUUUACAUUAUUGCAGUGAUUUAACGAACUGCAGAUAUACUCAAAGGAAUGUGGAAAGCACAGGAUAAAAUUGUCAGAACAAAAUGAGGAAAAGUGAGAGAAAACAUAAUGGAGAAUGGAAAAGUAAUCAAAAAAACAAGGGGAUGCCAGGUAAUUGGCCAGGAGUGAUUUACAAUGCAUUGCUGUCAUCUGCCAGCCUUUGGUAUUUGUGGGUAGGAUCUAACAGCUACUUGCUGUCUUCCUACCUGAAACAAGAAACUGAUUGCAAACACAGCUCUUUCUGA